rnacentral:rRNA from 1 species
CGGUAAUUCCAGCUCCAAUAGCGUAUAUUAAAGUUGUUGCAGUUAAAAAGCUCGUAGUUGAACCUUGGGCUUGGUUGGCCGGUCCGCCUUUUUGGCGAGUACUGGACCCAACCGAGCCUUUCCUUCUGGCUAACCUUUCGCCCUUGUGGUGUUUGGCGAACCAGGACUUUUACUUUGAAAAAAUUAGAGUGUUCAAAGCAGGCCUUUGCUCGAAUAUAUUAGCAUGGAAUAAUAGAAUAGGACGUUAUGGUUCUAUUUUGUUGGUUUCUAGGACCAUCGUAAUGAUUAAUAGGGACGGUCGGGGGCAUCAGUAUUCAGUUGUCAGAGGUGAAAUUCUUGGAUUACCUGAAGACUAACUACUGCGAAAGCAUUUGCCAAGGACGUUUUCAUUAAUCAAGAACGAAAGUUAGGGGAUCGAAGAUGAUCAGAUACCGUCGUAGUCUUAACCAUAAACUAUGCCGACUAGGGAUCGGGUGUUGUUCUUUUUUUGACGCACUCGGCACCUUACGAGAAACCAAAGUCUUUGGGUUCUGGGGGGAGUAUGGUCGCAAGGCUGAAACUUAAAGGAAUUGACGGAAGGGCACCACCAGGAGUGGAGCCUGCGGCUUAAUUUGACUCAACACGGGGAAACUCACCAGGUCCAGACACAAUAAGGAUUGACAGAUUGAGAGCUCUUUCUUGAUUUUGUGGGUGGUGGUGCAUGGCCGUUCUUAGUUGGUGGAGUGAUUUGUCUGCUUAAUUGCGAUAACGAACGAGACCUUAACCUACUAAAUAGUGCUGCUAGCUUUUGCUGGUAUAGUCACUUCUUAGAGGGACUAUCGAUUUCAAGUCGAUGGAAGUUUGAGGCAAUAACAGGUCUGUGAUGCCCUUAGACGUUCUGGGCCGCACGCGCGCUACACUGACGGAGCCAACGAGUAUUAACCUUGGCCGAGAGGUCUGGGAAAUCUUGUGAAACUCCGUCGUGCUGGGGAUAGAGCAUUGUAAUUAUUGCUCUUCAACGAGGAAUUCCUAGUAAGCGCAAGUCAUCAGCUUGCGUUGAUUACGUCCCUGCCCCUUGUACACACCGCCC